CCGACAUAUAAAUUGUUGGUGAGAUGGUAUACUACCAGAACUACAAUUGGCUAUUGCUCCGAUUCAAAUGUUAUACAAUGUUCACCUCUUAUCCACACACAAGAUCAAGAACACAUAUUGCACAAUCAUUGAUCACAGAUUCAAACUCAAGUCAAUCUUGACAAAGCAAAGUUUGGCCAUCUUGGCAAACAUCUAGAAAACACAAGUCACAUAAAAGGACCCUUGUUUGAUGGUCUAAAAGAGUUCAAACACUAAAUGGUCCAAACACUUAAGUCACAUCCACAGGAUUUCUACUCCAUAUCACUUGAACACCAAAUGGUCCAGAACACAAAUAAGAUUCAUGAUUACAAUUAAGUUGGAUGAUCCAAAAUACUGCGGUCAACCAAAUGCUCCAUAACACUCCAAAGUCAUCACAUCCAUGAAUACUAGGUGGCUGAUUACCUGAAAAUAUUACACAAGAAUUUGGUAGAAAGUGCAGUCAGCUCAAGUUAUUCGAAGCUCAUAGGGAGAUUGGCAGCCAAGAGAAGCACAAGAGUAUUCAUGACAUAUGCCCAGAACACAUAUAACAUAGUUCUGCCAUAUGUGAUGUAAAAUAUUUUUAAAAUGCUGAAAGGAAUCAUCAUGCAAACAUAUCUACAUAUACAUAGAGUAAGCAUUUCUCCAUGGCAGGCAUAUCUAUAGAUUCUAUUCAACCUCUUACAUGGAAGAAACUGUAGUAGGAUCAGCCAGUGUAAAGUUGUAUUUGUUCUAAUACGAAGUUAGCUCAAAUAUGGAGGCUAUGGGUCAAAUUCUCAUAUGUCCCAACUGAAUGGGACUACAAACAUGUGAUUGUUACUCGCGUGUACAUAUGAGGAAUAUGUGUGGGUGCCCCAUAACCAUUUUACCUACUUCAAAGUUCGAAAAUAAUUGUGUUCGCACGUUAUCUCAUGAAGUAGAACUAAUAUGUACAACUUCAGACCAAAAAACUGUAGGAUGUGCAGUUUAGUUUAUGCCACUAGUCAUCAACCCUACACAGGCUAGCUACCAUCGUUUUCAUGAAUGUGUUAGUAUAUACUUAGAAAUUACAGAAUUUAGAAAUAUUUUAGUAGCAUACAACUGAGAUGAUACUCAUGGCAUUGUUGUUUAAUGAUGAAAACUGAACGAACAUUAUUUGUACGCACCGGCUAAUGUGGUGCAUCCACUUAGGUUGCGUGCACCAUGCGAUCAAGGUUUAUUUCUCCCGUGCAAAAAAGAAAUAGUUGGCAUGUCUCUAAGUAUACCUUCGUUUGAUGGCAUAAAUCAUAACUUCUAUAUCCAGUGCAAUGAUUUAAUUAACUAUUCUCAAUAUCUCAUGGCUCAAAAGGACCUCAGAAAAUAAAUUAUGAUCAAGUUGAUUCUUUAAUAUAGUUAGUCCUACUAUGUUAAUAUGUGAAAACUGAUGAAAAGACUCCAGCAUAAACUCAUUUUUAUGAAACAAUAACCUUUUUUCAAAAUAUAAACAGUAAACAAUUAUAUAGAUUUAUUCCAAGACACUUUCAAUUUUUUUCAGUUUGGUUAUAUCAAUAUAACUAAGCAAGUCAAUAGAAACUAAUGAAACUUGUAAACCCAAACAAAUAGGGUAUUAUAAAUUGAACACCAAUAAAAAAUAGAGGAUACUAAAGUUCCUAAAUUAGUACUCCCUCCGUCCCAAAAUAAGUGACUCAACUUAGUACUAACUUUGUACUAGAGCUAGUACAAAGUUGAGUCACUUAUUUUGGGACGGAGGGAGUACAUCACAACGGUAAAGUAAAUGUUGUUAUAAAAAUAGUAUCUUGCUUUCACGCACAUUGCCAUAGUAAUGCUACAACUACAUGUCACACAUACCUUUGUUACCUAUUGCCAUUGGCAUUGAAAAUAUGUGACUGAAUUGAAGUAUUAUUUAGAAGACCACAUAUACAUAGAGUAAACUAGAAAGAGGAAAUUUUCAUACAAGUAAAGAAAAUUAAACAACAUGGUUUACAAUUUAUCACCCUUGAGAUCAAACUUACAAAUCUGAAUUAGAUGCAUCAUAAUAAUUGGAAAUAUUUAUCACAUCUGCCGCUAACUGAAAAACUUAAACACAUUACUCAUUAAAGUUGUAGCUGCAAAACCAAAAUGUCAAAAAUAAUAUUAACUCCUUCCCAAUUUACUUGUUUUAGAUAGUGUUAGAUUCAUUGGUAUCUAGAAAAAUUGAAGAAGAGUAAUUCGGGACGGAUGGAGUACAAACAUUUUAUUUAGACAGCUACUAAAAAGUAAGGAUUAUUGAAAGUUGUUUAUCAAAAGUUGUAGGACGACGCAAACCCCACUAUACAGACUCACCGGUUAAUAAAAGAAGAUAGAGAUACACACAUUCAUGCCCAGAUGUGAAGCGCAACACAUCAAUCUUGCUAGGAACGCACCAAUCAAACUAGCUUCAGCCGUCAGGCCUGUCUGCAACCAUAUGGGAACAAAGAAAAAAGUGAAGAUUCAAUGAUAAGCACCGGAGACUAUGGAGAACUAUUAUGGGAAGAACAAAGUAAAUGGGUCUGGAUCUGUUAUCUCACUAUGCGCAAAGCGCUUGCAUGUCAUCCUUUCCCAAACACCAUCGAUCUGUUCUUUUUCCCUUGCAAGAGACGCAUGACGGACGCUGAUGAAAAGUUCAUAGAUUAUGGUAGACAGAUUAGUUGAGCAAGAUCAAUUUAGUAGGAUCUUGGGUGGUGUCGCUUAAGCAGAGAAACUGGUCGAGCCUCAAGCGACAUAGCACAUGGCCGGGGGAGAUUUUUACCGCUACGUACGUACUGGUAGCGCACAUGAAGAAGGCGGGUUCAGGUUAUUUCCAAUCAGACCACUUUAUCCAAGGGCUACUAAUCUGUCCACCAUAAUCUAUGAAUUUUAUCCAAGGUCUAUGAGAAAAGUGGUACUCUAGAUUUUUUACUAAUUCUAGCAAUAUCAUCUGUAUAGCUGGUUACACAUGCAAUCUAGACCGACAUUUCAGAAACUUGCAAUCUUAUAAUUCAGACAUUUGAAGUAACCCAUCCCUGUAGUCAUCGAUCUGACCAACAAAUUAGAAACUGAAAUAAAAUAAGGUUGGAUUGUGCACUUCUCAGUAGCACCACAGAUCCAACAAGUAACCUUCGUAAUGCCACAGCCUAAUCUUAAACAAAGGGACUGACUAACUAAGCAGGGAUCAGUUUAGGUUCAGACUAACAACAUGUUCAAUCACUCCAACGUAGCUACCAACAAUACAGCUCACAGGUUGAAGCAAACUAGCAGGUCGAUCUAUGAGAGACACAGGAUGUUGCUCGUGUUUGGAAGAACAACCGCGGAUGCCAUCAUCGACCCUUUACCUAGCAAAGAACAGUUCAUCUGGCCUGCGUACAUGAAGGAGGGAGAGAGCCGACAGCUAUUCUGAGGACGACCUGCGACCAGGUGUGUGGCACCUAGCACAUGACGGGGAACGCACCUCGAAGGCCACCGGCUGCCCACCAAUGAAACGGGCCUGCGGCUGAUAAAUCUGGACAAGGGUCUUUGCGGGAGAGAAAAGGGGCGGCGGCGGCAGAAGCAGGGGCCGGGGAUGUGGAGCUCGAGGUCGGGGGAUGUGGUCGAGGGCGGGGGUUAGGGCGGCGGGCGGACGGAGGUCGGCGUCGGAGCUAUCACCGCCGGCGGCAGGGACAGGGGGUGGCGCGAGAGGGUGGCGGCGGAGGAGAUGUGGGGAUGAAGCUGGUGUUAUUUGGGUUGGGUCUCAGAUUCAGG
rnacentral:lncRNA from 1 species